UGAGCCGGCUGGGUGGUCGCGUACGGGCUUGACCCGUCCGAGGAACGUCCGGACUCCACAGGGCAAAGUGCUGGGUAACACCCAGUCGGGGUGACCCGCAGGAAAGUGCCACAGAAAACAGACCGCCGAUGGCGGAGCGGCUGCUCCGCACAGGCAAGGUUGCAACGGUGCGGUAAGAGCGCACCAGCGUCCGGGGUGACUCGGACGGCUAGGUAAACCCCACUUGGAGCAAGGUCAGACAGGGAGCGGGCGGCCCGUUCAACUCCCGGGUAGACCGCAAGAGUCGUCGGGUAACCGCCGACCGAGAUGGAUGACCAUCC
rnacentral:RNase_P_RNA from 1 species